rnacentral:ncRNA from 1 species
AAAAUAGUAUGGGAUUAGUAAACUUAGGGAACGUGCAAGAGAGUGGAACCCACGGCUGGAAGGUUUCUCACGGAAACAAAUUGAACCUGCCCAAUUGAGCUGCUUAUGCAAACAUAAGCCGUAUUUCCUCGUUACGGAAUCAAGUGAAUGCAGGCACUUUGCCGCAUUAAUAAAGGUGGUACCGCGGAAACGACUUUUCCGUCCUUUUU